CUGAGAGGGUAAAAUAAUUAUUUUACUGUGCAUUGAAAAUGUUAAAUUAUCAUGACACCUCCACUGACAAGUCUUAG
rnacentral:sRNA from 1 species